GAUGAAGAACGUAGCGAAAUGCGAUAAGUAAUGUGAAUUGCAGAAUUCAGUGAAUCAUCGAAUCUUUGAACGCACAUUGCGCCCGCCAGCAUUCUGGCGGGCAUGCCUGUUCGAGCGUCAUUUCAACCCUCGAGCCCCCCCGGGGGCCUCGGUGUUGGGGGACGGCACACCAGCCGCCCCCGAAAUGCAGUGGCGACCCCGCCGCAGCCUCCCCUGCGUAGUAGCACACACCUCGCACCGGAGCGCGGAGGCGGUCACGCCGUAAAACGCCCAACUUUCUUAGAGUUGACCUCGGAUCAGGUAGGAAUACCCGCCGAACUUAAGCAUAUCAAUAAGCGGAGGA
rnacentral:misc_RNA from 1 species